GACACAAAACAAAAAGUAUAUAUUAUAGGAAGUUUUCUUCUAGUUCCUAAAUAAAAACUUUACUUGUCAUGGAUGAAAUAAGCAUCUGGUACAUUGAUUUCUUAAGUGACUUGUAAGGAAAAGAAAUGCUGCUGAAGACAUUCAGAUUGCUGAGACAAGGAAUUCCUCAUCGUCCUCAGAAACUGCUGACCAGGAAAAUUGGAGAUGUGGAUUUCCACAGCAGCAAUUGUACAUUUAGCUCCAUCUGUGCAGCAUUGUAGCCAGAUGAGCUGUUACUGCAGAACAUUUAUCAGCUCAGAAGACAGAGCUGGAGAACUUUGUGGAAGGUGACACUAAGCUGUCGCAUACAUCCCGACUGCUUGGCCCUUUGUCUCGGAACAAUGGAAGAUGAGGAGCUGUGGCAUGCCAAGGUUUAACAAUUUGCAUCAUGCCAGAAGAAACUUAUCCAAGUUGUAACAAUGUCUGAUUGGC